rnacentral:rRNA from 1 species
AACGAACGCUGGCGGCAGGCCUAACACAUGCAAGUCGAGCGCCCUUUCGGGGGAGCGGCGGUCGGGUGAGUAACGCGUGGGAAUAUGCCCUUCUCUACGGAAUAGCCUCGGGAAACUGAGAGUAAUACCGUAUAAGCCCUUCGGGGGAAAGAUUUAUCGGGGAAGGAUUAGCCCGCGUUGGAUUAGGUAGUUGGUGGGGUAAUGGCCUACCAAGCCGACGAUCCAUAGCUGGUUUGAGAGGAUGAUCAGCCACACUGGGACUGAGACACGGCCCAGACUCCUACGGGAGGCAGCAGUGGGGAAUCUUAGACAAUGGGGGCAACCCUGAUCUAGCCAUGCCGCGUGAGUGAUGAAGUCCUUAGGGUUGUAAAGCUCUUUCAGCUGGGAAGAUAAUGACGGUACCAGCAGAAGAAGCCCCGGCUAACUCCGUG